CUCUUCUUUCAUGCUACUUUUCAAACUUUCUACAGGACUGGCCCUACGUACUCAUAGACAAUUACUUUUAAUUGCUUGAGUUUGAUCCUUUGUUGUGUUCGUUCCAUUAAUUCUACUUCUUUGCAAGUCUUUUCCCUUGUUGGAAGCGAGCUGUUAUCAUCCAUGAAGGCGUCUAAGUGAUUAUCCUCAACCUUUCAUUCGUUUCUUUCUUUGCUAGCUGGAUUCCAUACAGAGCUAAAGGCCUUCUCCAUUUCAUUGAGCAAUCAGUACCAGUUCUGUAUCCUUCUCACAUAUUUUCUCAAGUUUAGCGAGCUGGUAUCAUCCA